AUAUUUGUUCUUCACAGUCACUUUGUUUAACUGUCGGUAAUCGAUGCAUAGUCUCAAAGUCCCAUCCUUCUUUUUCACAAACAGCACUGGAGCUCCCCACGGUGACACACUGGGGCAUAUGAACCCCUUGUCUAGUAAUUCUUGUAGCUGGAUUUUUAACUCUUUCAAUUCAGUAGGUGCCAUCUUAUAUGGAGCAAUUGAAAUAGGAGCUGUACCCGGCAUAAUCUCAAUAGCAAACUCAACUUCCCUUUCUGCUGGAAAACUAGGCAAUUCCUCAGGAAAUACCUCAGAGAAAUCCCUUACUGUGGGUAUGUCAGACAAGUCAAGUUUACCCUGCCUAGUGUCAACCACGUGUGCCAGAUAGGCUUCACACCCUUUUCUCAACCAUCUCCUUGCAACUGUAGCUGAGAUGACAUUGAACAAGAAAUCUGUCCUUUCACCCACAACUGUUAUUUCUUCGUUCUCAGCAGUUUUCAGAAAGAUUCUCUUCAAUUUAUAAUCUACUAUUGCCUGAUGAUGGGAUAACCAGUCCAUUCCGAAAAUCACAUCAAACUCAUGGAAAGGCAGUUCAAUUAAGUCUGCUGAGAACUCUUUCCCUUGAAUCUUCAAUGGACAGCCCUUAUACACCUUGUUUACUACCACACUGUAGCCUAGUGGAUUUGUGACCAGGAUGUCUUAGUCACUUUCCUCUACUGGUAUUCCCUUUUCUACGGGCAGCUUGAUACAAAUAUAUGAAUGAGUAGAUCCAGGAUCCACUAAUGCAU
rnacentral:misc_RNA from 1 species